GCCGGGCAUGGUGGCACACGCCUGUAGUCCCAGCUACUCAGGAGGCUGAGGUGGGAGGAUUGCUUGAGCCCAGGAAUUCUGGGCUGUAGUGUGCUAUGCCGAUCGGGUGUCCACACUAAGUUCGGCAUCAAUAUGGUGACUUCCCGGGAGCAGGGGACCACCAGGAGGCCUCAGGAGGGGUGAACCAGCUCAGGGCGGAAACGGAGCAGGUCAAAACUCCCCUACUGAUCAGUAGUGGGAUCGCGCCUGUGAAUAGCCAUUGCACUCCAGCCUGGGCAACAUAGCGAGACCCUGUCUCUA
ensembl:misc_RNA Metazoa_SRP Metazoan signal recognition particle RNA